AUUUAAUUAGCUUAAGAGAAAAGCAUAGGACUCUUAAUCCUACUAAGGAGGAUAAAUCAACCUCCAUUAAAUC
rnacentral:tRNA from 1 species